rnacentral:rRNA from 1 species
AACGAACGCUGGCGGCGUGCUUAACACAUGCAAGUCGAACGCGAAAGGGGCUUCGGUCCUGAGUAGAGUGGCGCACGGGUGAGUAACGCGUAGAUAACCUGUCCUGGUGACUGGAAUAACGUCUCGAAAGGGGCACUAAUACCGGAUAUUCUUGCUUUCUUCAAGGUAUGCAAGGAAAGGUGGCCUCUGGAACAAGCUACUGCACGAGGAGGGGUCUGCGUACCAUUAGCUAGUAGGUGGGGUAAUGGCCUACCUAGGGGACGAUGGUUAGCGGUUCUGACAGGAUGCUCCGCCACACUGGCACUGGAAUACGGGCCAGACUCCUACGGGAGGCAGCAGUGAGGAAUAUUGCGCAAUGGGGGCAACCCUGACGCAGCGACGCCGCGUGAGUGAGGAAGGCCUUCGGGUCGUAAAGCUCUGUCAAGAGGGAAGAAGUGCAUGGUGGUUAAUAUCUGUCAUGUUUGACGGUACCUCUAAAGGAAGCACCGGCUAACUCCGUGCCAGCAGCCGCAGUAA